ensembl:snoRNA SNORD58 Small nucleolar RNA SNORD58
UGGCGGUGAUGACUAUCUUAGGACACCUUUGGAAUAACUGUGAAAUAAAAUCUUAAUUCUGAGCCAU